CAACAUUCUCUGGAUUCAGAUGUGAGCCAUUAACUGACUUCAUCCCUCCAACAGAAACCAACUGUUUGAGGUUCUAUCUCAACAUUCUCUAGAUUCAGAUGACAGCCAUAAACCGACUUCAUCCCUCCAACAGAUUGACAGCAGGACAAAUCGCUGGAAGUGGGUAUGUCUCAAGCUUCUUCCACUUGGUCCACUCCA